UAGGGGGCGGGUGACACGUGACACCGAUGGCUGCCAGGUGCACUCUAAUGAUUGUUUUCACUGAAGAAUUUUGGACUCCAUGCCAUACAAUUUUCAUCCUUUUUGCAAAAUGGAUGAUAAUUUGGGUCUGUCUUGACUGCUGGUUUUGCAUUGCUAAUAUUGGUGGGAGGAGGGUUUUGCCUAAGUUCUCUUAAAAAUAUGAGAAUUUCAGUCCAAAAUAUGUGAAUUUUUAAUUGCGAUCUUGGCAGCCUGGGGUGGGCUUUGCGUGAGCAUCUGCCCCUUCCUCCUUGUCCCUCUGCAGCCUCUGCCUUGCCUCUCCUUCCCUCUCUAGCCUUCACCUGGGUUAGGGAUGCCCCCUCUCUCCCACUCUUCCUCAUUCCCUGCAGUGCGUUUCCCUCAGCAGCAGGACCGGGCCCUGGUUUCUGCCCCAGGGUGGGGUCAGCAGCUGUGCAUUCCCAGGGUUUCCAUUACAAAUGUUAUUUUCCAGGGGCUUCUAACCAAGUCAUACACAUUUGUGUGGGCUUGGAACCCAGCCUUCUGGGCAAGGUCUCAGACUGCAUGCACAGCCUCGCGGUUCUGUGCAAAAUCUCAUUACUGUCACUUCGACCAUUUUCCUGGUUGAGAAACUAGCUGGUGCAUGCUUUCAAAGGCUGUUUAUACCUCGAGAGCUUGCAAGACAGGGGUAGCAACUGUUAAAGAAACAGGGUCCUGCACCCUGCCCAGCCUACCAGUGAUCAAACACCACAUGUGCUGGGAUCGUCCAGAAGCCUCCAAAUAUACCUUAUUUCCCAAGCUCCUUAGCUUUACACAGCAACAUGGUCUGACAUUUAAAAUUAAUCUAUGUGGUAAAGUUAUUAGCAUUCGAAUGUUAGCACUGGAAUAUCCACAGUGACCUCUCCUCCCGGGCUGGUGUUUGUUUGAUGAGGAUUCCCAGGCUGUGUCAGGGCUGAAAGCAACACAGUCCCACAUACUUUUUAUUAAUUCCAGUACUAGGCCUCACCUUGGGAGAUCUCCAAGUGCUCUGUAGGGGAGCUCUGAUUUCUCCAGGCAAUAGCUGGAGGAACCACAAGCCAGCUAUUGCAAAUGCCAAAUAGGCUUCUCUUGUCCAGAGAGACAAUGAAGACCCAGAGAGGAGCCAGCAGGAUGUUUAAUAGCUGCUGGGAGCCAUUGUUCUGGGGCUGAAGCAAGCACCUAAAUGACCAUGGUUGUCAGGCAUAAUCUCAUACCCACACAUUUAUGAGUGUCUGUGCUCUUUCAUGUCAUGCCCGUGGCCUUCUCCUAGUCACAAUCAGUCUAACGAAAGGGACCAGAGGAAAGGCUGAUUCAUCUGACCAUGCCUGUCCUUAUUAUGGUAUAAAGUACACACAUGUUAGCUUCUGGGCAACUAUGGAUGAGCUCAGGCGAUAGACUAAAGGGAGCAUACUUACUAACCCCUUCAGUAGGUAAAACAUGAAGUAGGAAAGACAAUCCAUCAAGUGGAACAGCACAAUAAAACAGAAUAUUGAGGGGAUUUUAAAGAAAUAGCAGACUGUGAUUUAGCUGGGGAAGGAAGAACUGGAAGGAUGGAGGUGGGGAGAGCUCUGCAAACACUAAUUCACAGGGGACUAGACUAUCAGUCCACAAUGGACAGUCUGGGUGGAGGGCUUUUUAAAGCAUGCUUUGCAAUCAGGUGUCACAAUGUCAGGUUCAGAGGGCUAAGGUGACAUCUGAUUGGAGGAUGUAUUAAGGAGAAGAACAGUAUGACUUCUUGCUUGCUUCUGUUAUUAAGCAGAUCAGCCACCUCAUCAUCCCCCUGCUUCUGCCACCCAGAGUCCUCGACCAUUCUCACCUGUCUGCCCAAUACAUUAGACUUCUCUGGGGUUCAUCUUCUGAUAAAUCCUCACCUUGCUUUGUCUUCUCUGUGGUGACCGCACCCAUAUUCACACUCCCAUCUGCUCUCCUGUGCAGCUGACAUGAGAAUCCCACUCCUGCCUGUGCCACCCUCUGAGCACUAGUCUGUGUAUAUGUACCUGUCCUAUUUCCUCAAGAACCUUAAGAAGGUAGAGUUUCCAUCUGUGAGCCACCUUGGAGACUCCAACUCACUGUAGUCUGUCUCUCUUCUGUUCUCUCUAGCUUGCUGAGUCUCCAAGGAUUUUUCUCUGUGGAUUCUUGUUGAUACCUCGUAUAGUUCUGUUCCUACCCCUUUCUUCCUAAUUUCCCAUCUUUCCCUUAAAAAAGAGUUGAGGCCUGUUGGGAGAGCUGAGAUGAGAAGAACCCCUCCUGGGACUGUAGACAUUGGCUGGGAGUAAGCCUGAAACAGGUGACCCCCACAUGGGGCCAUGUGGGCAGGUCUAGACCAAGAGCAAGCCAAAGAUGACCACCAGUCUAGUGCUGGGGGCCCAGAGAGGGAGCUAGCCUGAAAUGACCACCAGUCUGGGCCACAUAGACCUUAGGUUGAGUGGGUGGGGGCAGACCAUGCCUGAAAUGACCCUAGCCUGAUGCCUCAAUGUAAAGAUGGGACAUAGCACUUCUGAAAUGACCCCACAGACCGUGGGUACCACUAAGAGGAGCAAAUAAGUGGUGGAGAAAUGGAAGAGAAAGAGAAGCAGAAGGAUGUGGACACCGUGAGAAGAGGUAGAACUGGAGACUCGAGGGUAAUGAGGGACAGCCUGAUGUGAGUAGCUGGUGAUACCAUGUGGGGCCAUCAUGGGAUCCUGGUCUGUGCUACCACUGGGGACCAUGCCUGGGCCCAUUGACCUAUAGCAGGGGUUUUAUUGACACAAAAGGCUAAGUAGGUGUUCCUGGUCUGGGUGACUCUGGGGGCAUGCCAAUGUUGGAGGGCUGUGCAGAACCAGCCCCACCCCUCACCUGGGCAUCUUGGGAGAACUAGCCAUCAUGAUAUGAGAAAGCUGACCCUACCCCUAGCUAGCUACAGUACUAGCGAGAGGAGGCCUUGAAACUGGCCCAGGAAGCAGGCCCUGGUUUUUAGGAGUUGCAAGUGCACUGGCCCCAUGGGUAUGAGUGUGGGGGAACUGGCCCAGACUGCUGCCUGUCUCCCCUGACACGGACAUGGGAGAGAUACCUUCCUUCCCUCUUGCUACUUGCAGCAGGCAGGAGACCCAUCCUGGGGUCAUGGGAACAGGAGCACUAUCCUUGUCCCUCACCAGCUGCAGCACUGAAGAGAGAAAGCCCUGCAGGUGGCCUGAGCAGCACAGUAGAGCUGGCCCUGGUUGUGGGGGUUGCCAGUGAGCUGCUGGCUUGAGGGCAGGAGAGCAGGAGAGCUGGCCCAACCCCUCCUCAGUGCAUGAUUGGUGAGAACAGGCCCUGUACCUCCCGUGGAUAGCACUGUAGAGCUGACCCUCAUGGUGUAGGUGUGGAUGUGUCAGCUCCAAGGACAUGUGAGUGGGAGAGCUGGCUCUGCCCCUUGCGGCCUGCAAUCUUAGAUGGGCCAGUCUGGGCGGAGCAAGAGAGCUCAUCCUGGUGGUGUGGCUACAGGAGAGCUGAUGAUACCUCAGGCUCAGAUAUCUCUCAGUCCCAGAGCUAGGAUUUUGAAUUAGAUCACCCCAAUAUCUACACCGUCUAUGAACUGCUGUAGUGUAUGAAGGGGCCGGUCCUACAGAUCCAAAACUACAGGAUUUCCAUGACACAGGGUAACAAUAGGUUAUCUGACACAAGUCCCAGUGAGGUUCCAGUACUGAUGGUGUAGCAGAAGCCAGAGGCCUUGUGACAGACAGACCAACGAGUCAUUGCAGUGAACAUUUGCAAGCAAAGAAGUGUGGACAAAAGGGUCUACUGUGGGACGUACUGUGACACACUACAGAUUCCACAAGGAAAUGUUUUUUCUUUCUUUAGGAGAGGCUGCAAUGUGUAAUGCAGGCAUGAAAGGUGGGGAGAUGAAUGGGAUUGGGGUGCAUGAUGUAAAAUUCAUAAAGAACCAAUAAAAAUG
rnacentral:lncRNA from 1 species